GCGGACAUGGCGGAAUUGGCAGACGCGCCGGAUUUAGGUUCCGGUACCGCAAGGUGUGUGGGUUCGAGUCCCUCUGUCCGCA
rnacentral:tRNA from 1 species